GUUCCUAGAGAUGCUAGAAUUCUGGAGAAUUUUAUCUUUGAAAUUUUUUAAAAUGUUGCAUGAUGAGUUCCUGUAUGAUGAGAGUUUAAAUUCCUACCACAGCCAUAUAUACAUGCUUGCUAGACUUUGAGCCACACAUUUAAUAUUUACUGCUUAUGAGCAUUGAGUGUGGUCAAGCUGUGUAGACCCUUAGGAGCUUGUCAUGUGGUUAAAUCAAGAUUUCACUUGCACGUUCACUCAUAUAUGCUACUUCUACUCCGGAAGUACCAUCCACAUAUAUCCACCCAUUCCAUUUCCAGAACCACCCAAAAAUAUUCUACUCCUAAUCCGAGAGAGAAUAACCAAAAAUAUUUCUGUUUUUCCCUUGUGAAAUAAAUGCUCAAGUUAUCUUGUUACUACCACUUGCUAUAUUAUCUCAAGAGAUGAGUGUUUAAAAAAAAUAGAGAAAAAUACGAGGAAAUAAAAAGGAGCAAGUGCUCGGAACCUCGAAAGAAAAAAAAAAGUGAGACGAGAGGUAAAAAUGGACAGGUGUCCGACAAUAGAAUUAGGGGUACAAGAUACCCACCACCUGAGAGAAAAGAAAAAAGAAGAGCAUCUCAUUCUCCUCAUAAAGUUUCAAAAAGCAAGGAAGGUAUGUAUCCCCUCAAAGAGCAAAGUAGAAUUAGACUUCCACCACCCUUGUUAUCACCAUCAUCACCAUACACCAUUCAUUCGCCACACAUGCACAUCUUGAUUAAACUUAUUGAUUUGUUUCUUUGGAUCCAUGGUUUGACUAUACAAUAAAUGUCUUGUAAGUAUGUAUACUUUUAUCUCCCACCUAUGAGCUCCAGAUAUUAAAGCCUUAUUAGAGUAGGGUGAGAGAGGAGGCAAUGUCACUAUGCCUUACACCACAAAUACUACAAAUCUUGAGAGAAGGCAUAUACCAUCACUGCCUUGGUAAGGAUCCAGAAAUACCACAAAAGAGAGAUAUGAGAGAAUCAUACAAGGAAUCUCUGAGUUUUAUUUGAAAAUCUGCAAAAACCCCAGAGCUAUAGCUGAUCAAGAAUAAGAGACAUGGCACAUGGCUAGACUGUUCUAUCUUUUAAGGAGUCUCAACAUGAUAAAGGUUAGAUAUUUAUGCUAACACUUAAUCAGUUCCACAAGCUUUGUUGUCUAUUUGAGCUCUACAGAAUUUAAGAAUGUAAGAAGACUAGCAGACGGAGGACAUUCUAAUCGCUGUCAGAAUGCUGCUGACUUUCAAAUACACCUCUGCCACCUUUGCUUAGUGUGCUUAAUAAAUAAAUAAAGUAGCUAUGCUAAUCUGUAUCUAAAUAAAACUUAAGCAUGGAUAUGAUAAAUAGUUGCUCUGCCUAAUUUGUAAAUUUUAAGUUCUCUCUCAAGUUUAGAUAUAACUGUUAUAAUUUAAAGCUUGCUCUAGACCUAAACUUGUGGGAUGAAAACUUGAUCUGAAGUCUAAGUUGUUAACGGAUAUGAUAUGGGAAGGUUGAGCUGCUGUUUAUCUGUUCCUAGAGAUGCUAGAAUUCUGGAGAAUUUUAUCUUUAAAAAUCUUUAAAAUGUUGCAUGAUGAGUUCCUGUAUGAUGAGAGUUUAAAUUCCUACCACAGCCAUAUAUGCAUGCUUGCUAGACUUUGAGCCACACAUUUAUUUACUACUUAUGAGCAUUGAGUGUGGUCAAGCUGUGUAGACCCUUAGGAGCUUGUCAUGUGAUUAAAUCAAGAUUUCACUUGCACGUUCACUCAU
rnacentral:lncRNA from 1 species